rnacentral:rRNA from 1 species
UACGUAGGGGGCGAGCGUUGUCCGGAAUCAUUGGGCGUAAAGAGCGUGUAGGCGGUUCAAUAAGUCUGCUGUGAAAGUCCAGGGCUCAACCCUGGGAUGCCGGUGGAUACUGUUGAACUCGAGUCCGGAAGAGGCAAGUGGAAUUCCUGGUGUAGCGGUGAAAUGCGUAGAUAUCGUGAGGAAGACCAGUGGCGAAGGCGGAUCUCUGGACAGCUCCUGACGCUGAGGCGCGAAGGCUAGGGGAGCAAACGGG